UCACAGGUUCUUAGAACCACUACAAAUUAAAAAAAGAAGUAUAU
rfam:Ailuropoda melanoleuca scaffold59_13, whole genome shotgun sequence.